GGGCGGUUAGCUCAGCGGGAGAGCGCCCGGUUUACACCCGGAAGGUCAGAGGUUCAAAUCCUCUACCGCCCA
rnacentral:tRNA from 1 species